AGGCCUAACACAUGCAAGUCGAGCGCGCCUUCGGGUGAGCGGCGGACGGGUUAGUAACGCGUGGGAACGUGCCCUUCUCUACGGAAUAGCCUCUGGAAACGGAGAGUAAUACCGUAUACGCCCUUUGGGGGAAAGAUUUAUCGGAGAAGGAUCGGCCCGCGUUAGAUUAGGUAGUUGGUGGGGUAACGGCCUACCAAGCCUACGAUCUAUAGCUGGUUUUAGAGGAUGAUCAGCAACACUGGGACUGAGACACGGCCCAGACUCCUACGGGAGGCAGCAGUGGGGAAUCUUAGACAAUGGGGGCAACCCUGAUCUAGCCAUGCCGCGUGAGUGAUGAAGGCCUUAGGGUCGUAAAGCUCUUUCGCCUGUGAUGAUAAUGACAGUAGCAGGUAAAGAAACCCCGGCUAACUCCGUGCCAGCAGCCGCGGUAAUACGGAGGGGGUUAGCGUUGUUCGGAAUUACUGGGCGUAAAGCGCGCGUAGGCGGAUUAGAAAGUUGGGGGUGAAAUCCCGGGGCUCAACCCCGGAACUGCCUCCAAAACUGCUAGUCUAGAGUUCGAGAGAGGUGAGUGGAAUUCCGAGUGUAGAGGUGAAAUUCGUAGAUAUUCGGAGGAACACCAGUGGCGAAGGCGGCUCACUGGCUCGAUACUGACGCUGAGGUGCGAAAGUGUGGGGAGCAAACAGGAUUAGAUACCCUGGUAGUCCACACCGUAAACGAUGAAUGCCAGUCGUCG
rnacentral:rRNA from 1 species